rnacentral:misc_RNA from 1 species
AUGAAACCUGUUUCAAGCUCUUCAUACUGCUCGAAGCACCAUCCUUUGCUCUUCUAGUCAAUGCCAUUAGUAAUGGUGGGACUAGGGGAAAAUGAGUGACAUUGUAUCUCUCAAUAGCUUUCACCAUCUCAUCAGCGUCAAAUUUGCUCAUCACAACAAUGGUAGUUCCCAACGACAACAACCCCAUCACAAAGAGAGAAAGCCCAUACACA